GACGAACGCUGGCGGCGUGCCUAAUACAUGCAAGUUGAGCGAUGAAGAUUGGUGCUUGCCCCAAUUUGAAGAGCAGCGAACGGGUGAGUAACGCGUGGGGAAUCUGCCUUUGAGCGGGGGACAACAUUUGGAAACGAAUGCUAAUACCGCAUAACAACUUUAAACAUAAGUUUUAAGUUUGAAAGAUGCAAUUGCAUCACUCAAAGAUGAUCCCGCGUUGUAUUAGCUAGUUGGUGAGGUAAAGGCUCACCCAGGCGAUGAGACAUAGCCGACCUGAGAGGGUGAUCGGCCACAUUGGGACUGAGACACGGCCCAAACUCCUACGAGAGGCAGCAGUAGGGAAUCUUCGGCAAUGGACGAAAGUCUGACCGAGCAACGCCGCGUGAGUGAAGAAGGUUUUCGGAUCGUAAAACUCUGUUGGUAGAGAAGAACGUUGGUGAGAGUGGAAAGCUCAUCAAGUGACGGUAACUACCCAGAAAGGGACGGCUAACUACGUG
rnacentral:rRNA from 1 species